rnacentral:rRNA from 1 species
UACGUAGGUGGCGAGCGUUGUCCGGAUUUACUGGGCGUAAAGAGCGCGCAGGCGGCUAGUCAAGUCCGAUGUGAAAGCUCCCGGCUUAACUGGGAAAUUGCAUCGGAAACUGAUCGGCUGGAAGGUGGGAGAGGGUAGCGGAAUUCCCGGUGUAGUGGUGAAAUGCGUAGAUAUCGGGAGGAACACCAGUGGCGAAAGCGGCUACCUGGCCCAUUCUUGACGCUGAGGCGCGAAAGCUAGGGGAGCAAACGGG